ACUGCCUAAAAGAGCUACCCUUCAAAGCUUUGCUUUGUGGAAAUCCAUUGCUUGAUGGUUAAUUUUCUUUUGUUGUCUUGUUUCAACUCAAUUCCUAACUUUAAGUGCUACUGAGAUCUAGCAACUUUGUCAAUCACUGUUCUACUCUUGCCUGUAUCUUGAGUUAUGGCUACACUAUGAGGCUUUUAGCGACACGGCUGUGCUGCUACUGCCAGGCAGCUAAAAGACAUGCAGUGUAGCUGCUGUUUGUCGGCAGCAGAGUGCUCCUGCUGACAAAGUGCUGUUCACACUGGCGCUUUUUGUCAGUAAAACUUUUGUCAUUCGGGGUUUUUUUUGUAACACCCCUGAACAACAAAAGUUUUGCUGACCAAGUGCCAAUGUAAACAAACCCUUACACUCAUGCUCUCCAGCUGUGCUGCCUUUGCACAUGUGAGUGAGAAUUACCUGCCAGUGAAAGAAAUAUCCUUAGAUCUGUCUCCUUUGGGAUAUUACACUGUGUGUGUGUGUGACCAAAGCUAUGUUCUAACUUCAGAUUCAUACUUUAAUCUUUACUUGUGUGACUUCUAAACUUUAGAAUACUCUUACUUUUAAAAUAAUUUUAACUAUGUUGUGUGUGUUUUUAACUACAGAGUUGUCUCGUGUGUUCCUAUUUUACACUCCAGACUAGCUUCAUUCCAGUCUUGGGGUGGGAACUUCAUUAGUUCCUAUUUUACCUUUGCCCAUUUUAAAUAACAAAAGCAGGGUACUUUGUGAUAGGGUUUUUUUUUGUAUAUUUGAACAAUACAAUGUCACCCAUAGAUGUAUGGUAUUACCUUUAAUAAAAAUAAAAGAUGUAAUAAUAGCUUUGCUAGCUUUUAUGAAGUUGACACUCCUUUCAAUUGUAUUGCCUUAUCAACCUAUCUAGUUUCAUCCAAAUUUAUUUUUAGUUUAAAAGUUUUAAUAUCAGGUUGAAUUGUUUAUUUUGGGACAUCCCUUAUGCACAGGAAAAAGAAGCCUGGGUAAAUUUUUAUGUGGUUACUGCCUGAAUGCAUUAAUAACAAUAAUCAAUAAUUCCAUGUUUUCUUUGCUUUUCCUGAACCAGUCAGCUGAGGAGCAAUUAAUUAACAAUUCCAUCUAUUUAUUGUUUCUCCUAAUUAUCAGUUUUUAUAAUUGUUUCAUUAUUUUAGUAAUUUUACUUUGAAUAUUACCUGGCAAACAACCCUUUUUUGCCUCACGCUCCUUUCAUUCUGGGGAAGCACCUGAAUCCCUGGUUUAUAAAUCAUUGCGCUGGGCACUUGGACAGGUUAAAGGAGCUGUUUAAGCACAGUCUGAUUAGCUGCAGUGAGAUAGGCAUCUGUUAGACUGAAGGGAAGGAGGAGGAACCUCCUAACAAGGCUGGAGGCUACUGAGCAGUAUCUGCCUCUUGUCAUAGGUGAUUGCUGAGUUUUGC